rnacentral:misc_RNA from 1 species
GCUGGUGGACCAGCAGAGGGAUCAUUACAGAGUUGAAAAACUCCCAACCAUUGUGAACCUACCUCACCGUUGCUUCGGCGGGUGGCCAGGGGAAACCCAGGCCGCACCGGCCCCCCUCGCGGGGCUGGCAGCCCGUCAGAAGCCUGAAACUCUAGCAUCUUGGCCUCUCUGAGUAACUUAUACAAUAAGUCAAAACUUUCAACAACGGAUCUCUUGGUUCCG